rnacentral:lncRNA from 1 species
GGCCUACUGUCUCUGGGACAGGACUGAUUGCCAUUUCCUACUGUGGCACUUUCCUGCUGCUUUGACAUUUGCAUGAACCCAGCAGAGGAUGCAAACUGGUGUGACUCAGAACUAAAGAUUGAUUUUCAGUACUGGGAAGGGGCCUCGAGUGAGGAGUGAAAUACUUACAACUACAUGAAUGC